rnacentral:rRNA from 1 species
UACGGAGGAUCCAAGCGUUGUCCGGAUUUAUUGGGUUUAAAGGGUGCGUAGGCGGGUUAUUAAGUCAGUGGUGAAAGCCGGCAGCUCAACUGUCGAACUGCCAUUGAAACUGAUAGCCUAGAAUCUAGUAGAGGUAGGCGGAAUGUAUCAUGUAGCGGUGAAAUGCUUAGAAUAUGAUACAGAACACCAAAUUGCGAAAGCAGCUUACUAUGCUAGUAUUGACGCUGAGGCACGAAAGCGUGGGGAUCAAACAGGA